rnacentral:rRNA from 1 species
GACGAACGCCGGCGGCGUGCUUAACACAUGCAAGUCGAACGGAAAGGCCCUGCUUUUGUGGGGUGCUCGAGUGGCGAACGGGUGAGUAACACGUGAGUAACCUGCCCUUGACUUUGGGAUAACUUCAGGAAACUGGGGCUAAUACCGGAUAGGAGCUCCUGCUGCAUGGUGGGGGUUGGAAAGUUUCGGCGGUUGGGGAUGGACUCGCGGCUUAUCAGCUUGUUGGUGGGGUAGUGGCUUACCAAGGCUUUGACGGGUAGCCGGCCUGAGAGGGUGACCGGCCACAUUGGGACUGAGGUACGGCCCAGACUCGUACGGGAGGCAGCAGUGGGGAAUAUUGCACAAUGGGCGGAAGCCUGAUGCAGCAACGCCGCGUGCGGGAUGACGGCCUUCGGGUUGUAAACCGCUUUCGCAUGUGACGAAGCGUGAGUGACGGUAAUGGGUAAAGAAGCACCGGCUAACUACGUG